AUUGUCCUGGGGUGUUUGCCAGUUUGGCUGAAUCCCUGAGCCGAUAAAUGUUUUUUCGGAGGCUACUCGUUCUUGCUGUGUGCAUGUCCGCAUGACGGAAAGCCUAAUGCAUUGCAGUCCCCUCCCCCUUGAACCGUCGGGUUCAAGGUAAGGUCAACAGCGGCAUUCCCGGGCACUUU
rnacentral:other from 1 species